rnacentral:rRNA from 1 species
GUACAUGCUUACAACAUAGCAUUAAUGCACCUAAUCCCAUUAGAACUCCUUUGUUAAGCGCACUCGGUAUAGAGUAGUACUUGGAUGGGUGAUCGUCUGGGAAUUCCUAGUGUUUUUU